UUGCUGUGAUGACUAUCUUAGGACACCUUUGGAAUACCCAUGAAAAAAAAUAAAUUAUUUCUGAGCAAC
ensembl:snoRNA SNORD58 Small nucleolar RNA SNORD58